rnacentral:lncRNA from 1 species
AUCAGCAGCCAGACUCAGUUACCGGAUUCACCUCUGUCUCCCCAGACAUCGGCAAAGUACCUGGUCCUGCCUGGUACUCAGCAAGUAUUUGUUGAACCAACUGAACUUCCCUGGGGCCAGCUCUGGCAGGAAACCAAGGACCCAGCCUGAUAGAGGCUCAGAGAGGUGACUUGAGUUGUCCAAGGUCAUACUGCAAGCAAAUGGCAGAGCUGGGCUUUGAAUCAGGCACUUCGGCUCUGAAGGUUUCUCUUCCACUACCACCUGGCUUGGUAUAGAGGCCUGGCUUAGAAGAAGCUGACUCAUGUGAGUCAGACAGCACUCUGAACUGGGCCCCCACUUUGUGCAGAACUCUAGCUGAGGCUUCUCAGGGGCAAGAAGAACACAACUCCCUCGGCCCCAGCCCCAGGGAACCUGCUGCCGUGGCUCAGGAAACAGACACAAGGCCAGCCUCUCUCCAUGUGGCCACUCCAGCAGAGAAGCUUGACUUCUUACCUGGAAUCUCAGGGCUCCGAAGGAGCUGCAAAGCCUUAACAAUGAGGCUGGAAAGAAAGAAUACCAGUCCCUGUCUCAUGGGGCAGUUCAGAGGAUGCAGAGACAGAACGUAUGCGCAGCACACAUCCCAGGGCCUCGCUACUGUUACCAUCAGCUCGCUCUGCUGCUGCCGUGUCUAAAACACCAGUUUCAGCCUUCCUACCUAAACAAGUGAUGAAGCCCUGAUGCUCUGUGCCAGGCUUGGACGGCUGACUCCCUCGUGAGCUGGGACUGCACCUCAGCAGGAGAGAACGGAGGCUGACCCCUCUGUGACCUUCAGCCCACUCCUCCCUCCCUCCCCCAGCCCCGAGAGGAGAGGAGAGGCCAGCUGGAGACCUGUCACAAGGUGUCCUGCUGCUGAGCUACCCAUGGCCCCUCC